rnacentral:rRNA from 1 species
UACGGAGGGUGCAAACGUUGUUCGGAAUCACUGGGCAUAAAGCGCACGUAGGCGGUCUGUUAAGUCAGGUGUGAAAGCCCCCGGCUCAACCGGGGAACAGCAUUUGAUACUGGCAGACUCGAGGAUGGUAGGGGUGAGUGGAACUCCAGGUGGAGCGGUGAAAUGCGUAGAUAUCUGGAGGAACACCGGUGGCGAAAGCGGCUCACUGGACCAUAACUGACGCUGAGGUGCGAAAGCUAGGGUAGCAAACGGG